AACACAAUGAUUAGAAUUGAGAGCGGAGCGUUGGAGCCUAAUGCCAGCCCAGAUGCUUUCUUCAGGGAGAGCUCGAUUUUUGUUUACGCAACACACAGCUUUAAUAAAUUUUGUUUAGAAUCGGCUUGAACGUCGGAAGAGCUUGCCGUUGGAACACUGGAGCCUAGCCGUUGGGAGAUUGAUGCUUGAACGUUGGAGCCUAAGGCCAGCUGGACUAGCCAUUGGAGAUUCAUGCAUUUGAAGUCAUGGUCUAUAAAAUCAGGGCAAGAGAGGGUAAGAGGAUUUGUGGUAGGGACUGGUAGUGGGACUGAGAUUCAUACAUUCGAAGCCAUGGCCUAUAAAAUCAGGGCAAGAGAGAUAGAGAUUCAUACAUUUGAAGCCAUGCUCUGUAAAAUCAGGGUAAGAGAGGGAGAGAGGAUUUGUGGCAGUGGGACUGAGCUUUGCAUUUACAUUGGAGUGUUGGGUUAUUGGACAUAUGGUGCUUACGGAAUUAUUUCUCUCUUUGAAAGAUUUAGAAACUGAGUCCCAACGUGCGAUGAAACUCUCGGUUCAUGGCUAAAAGGGCUUGAUAGUGAGCUGGUUGUGAUCGAUCAGGGUUGAAUAAAGGUUGUCUUUCUCAAGGUUGCAUGGCAUACAUGUAUGGUGUUGCAUCAAAUGUGAAUUAGUGUUGGUAGUACAUAUGUAAGUUAGACAUAUGCAUGUAAUUGAUUAAUAUAAAAUGCAAAAUGGUCUAGUACAUAUUACAUGGUUAAAUGUUAUGUCAUGUAAAUAGGGUUGUUAUUCAUUAAAGUUGUAUGGUGCGCUUAUGUGAAUUAAACUUUGACAUUUAUGCAAUUGAUGUCUAUAGUAUACAUUUGUGAAUUAAAUUUGUAUGAUGCAUAUUGUGUGCUCAUGUGCAUUAGGAUUGAAUGGUAUUUAUAUCAUUGAGUUAUAGUAUACAUUGUGUGCUCAUGUGUAUUAAUAUAAAAUGUAAAAUGGUGUGCUUAUGUGAAUUGAACUUUGACAUUUAUGUAAUUGAAGUCUAUAGUAUACAUUUGCGAAUUAAAUUUGUAUGAUGCAUAUUGUGUGCUCAUGUCAUUGAGUUAUAUGUGAUUGAUUUGUAUGUCAUGUAUAGUACAUGAAGAUGAUUCAUGUUAUUGUUGUGUUAUGUGUCCAAUGUGUAUUCUCUCCAUGUUGUGCCCAUAAACUUACUUUUUAUUAAAGUUGUAUGGUGAUCUAAUG